rnacentral:rRNA from 1 species
AUUGAACGCUGGCGGCAGGCCUAACACAUGCAAGUCGAGCGGUAGAGAGAAGCUUGCUUCUCUUGAGAGCGGCGGACGGGUGGGUAAUGCCUAGGAAUCUGCCUGGUAGUGGGGGAUAACGUUCGGAAACGGACGCUAAUACCGCAUACGUCCUACGGGAGAAAGCAGGGGACCUUCGGGCCUUGCGCUAUCAGAUGAGCCUAGGUCGGAUUAGCUAGUUGGUGGGGUAAUGGCUCACCAAGGCGACGAUCCGUAACUGGUCUGAGAGGAUGAUCAGUCACACUGGAACUGAGACACGGUCCAGACUCCUACGGGAGGCAGCAGUGGGGAAUAUUGGACAAUGGGCGAAAGCCUGAUCCAGCCAUGCCGCGUGUGUGAAGAAGGUCUUCGGAUUGUAAAGCACUUUAAGUUGGGAGGAAGGGCAGUAAAUUAAUACUUUGCUGUUUUGACGUUACCGACAGAAUAAGCACCGGCUAACUCUGUG